ACAGUGUUGAAAAAAAGCAGUACUGGUCGGCCUACAGUCACUCCCAUGACAUCUGAUGAUGAUGACGCUGCGGAAGCAGGUCCAUCAAAAGAAGUCUUGAGCAGCAGAAGGCGGACUCCUGUAGCACACCAAACAAUAAUACUUGUGGCAACAAAGAAAGCAAGGUCUGAUGUCCAAUCACAACCACAGCAGUCUACCCCGCCACGAAGAUUGUCUACAGUUUCUUCGGUCCCACCACUCCAAAUUUUGGUCACACCUCCAAGACGCCAGCCACACUCCCCUCAUCUUGAUUAUUCUAGUACUGGUACCAGCAUCCCGACGCAGCAGCAGCAACACAGUGACAUGGAUGAGACAAUCAUGUUACAAAUGCAGCCAUUAAUCGAAGGAAUCAGCCACCCAGCACCUGUGAGUACACCACCACAGCAAAGCACUCCACCACCACAACACAGCCCGACAACACCAGUAGCACAAGGCCCUGAUCAAGUGUUUUGAGACAGUUGGGCUACACAGCAGGCCACUAAUCAAGAUUGCCUGCGUAGGCAGACACAAAUUUUUGCUAACCUACCAUCUCACCGCAGUAGAAUCAGCAGAAAUAUCAGUCGCCAAAAUGAACCAACCACCAGAAUUGCCAAUACCAUGGAAAUCAUGCCUGCAGACAUUACACAUGUCAUGGGCAACUUACAACGCAUAAUGGAAGAACAGCACAGACAAAAGCAAAGCUACAUCAACAUCUUAGAAAACAAUCAAAUGAUCAAUGAAUCUAUCACCAGAAUUUUAGAGAAUAAAAAUGCUGCAACACGUGAACUUAAUGCCACCCUCACUAACCUCAAUGAAACACUCAGAUCCCAGCACCAACAGCAACCAAGCAGCAGUUCUGGUACGACUACUCCUAUUCUAUCGCCAGUGUCCUCACCACCAAGGCGCUCCACCAGAGCACGCCAACACGACAGUGGUAAAGGUAAAUGCCAGUCCAAGCAGCCAACCCCAAAAAAAUAAAAAAUAGAGACACCAAUUUCUGUAUAGAGAAGAAAAUAACCACAGUUAGUAAGUGUAGGUUUGUCUCAAUAUAUAUAACACUUAGCACUUUGUCAAUUUGUUGAACAUCAUUAAUUAUAAGUGUUACAAACAACAACAGGAUUUUUGCCAACACAUUUAUUCUUUAACAUCUUUGUAUUUUUUUGGAGGAGGAAAAAGUAAUUUGAUCUGCACAUUGAUCGUAGCAUGCAGUAACAAGACCACUUGAUUUUU